CAAAUUUUCUUCGUGUUUAGUCUCGGAAAAUGGUAAAUAAUUGUUAAAAAAUUAGUUGUGUUUGUGGUUUUUCGUUUUUUGUGCGUUUUUCAUCGGAAAAACUAAGUUCUUUUAAGACGGAAAAACUAAGUAACGAGCUGAAUUUUGACAUAACAGGUUAUUGAAACUUCAAAGAUAUAAUUGGCCUUCAUGAACACAUAUAUAAAAAAAAAAAACAACUGCAAAAAAAAGUAUGAUUUCCAUAACAUAUUUUGCAAAAAGAUUUAACUCGACGUUAACAUCAAAAAGUGCUUCCGGUUUUAUUUGUGUUAAAAAAAAAAAUUGUACCAGAUAAUAAAAACAUAAUUUAAAAUUAA